CACAGUGGCUCACACUUUUAAUCCCAGCACUUUGGGAGGCUGAGGUGGGCAGAUCAUGAGGCCAGGAGAUCAAGAUCAUCCUGGCCAACAAGGUGAAACCCUGUCCCUACUAAAAAUACAAAAAAUUAGCUAGGCACGGCAGGGUACGUCUGCAGUCCCAGCUACUCAGGAGGCUGAGUCAGGAUAAUCGCUUGAACCCGGGAGGUAGAGGUUGCAGUGAGCCGAGAUCGCACCACUGUACUCCAGCCUGGGAGACAGAGCCAGACCCCAUCUCAAAAACAAACAAACAAAAAGACAAAUAGACAUGGCCAGGCGAGGUGGCUCACACCUAUAAUCUCAGCACUUUGGGAGGCUGAGGCGGGCAAAUAACGAGAUCAGGAGUUUGAGACCAGCCCAGCCAACAUGGUGAAACCCUGUGUCUACUAAAAAUACAAAAAAUUAGCUGGGCAUAGUGGCGGGUGUCUGUAAUCCCAGCUACUCAGGAGGCUGAGGCAGAAGAAUCACUUAAACCUGGAAAGCGGAGGUUGCAGUGAGCCAAGAUCCCGCCACUGCACUCCAGCCUGGGCUACAGAAAAAAAAUCUACAAAAGACAAAUAGACUGAUAAUAAAAAAUGCUGGUGAGGAGGGGAGAAAUGGGAACACUCCUACAUUGCUGGCAGGAAUGUAAAAUGGUAUAUGUUUGGAAAACUCUGCCCCUACCGCAAAAUCUCUCUCUCUUUCCCUCCCCCACAAAGAGGCUCCCUUAUCUCUCACUUUACAUACCGGCCCUAGCCCUCCCUCCGCCCAGCUUCCCGCCCAGCAGUUCAAACUGACCAACAGUUGCCCACCACCUCGGCUUUUGGCUUCCCCACCCCCCAGCCCUUCAGCCCCCUAUAAAACAACCCUGCUCCUCUGAGCGGCGCGGCCAUUUUUCCUUUUCGUCCCGGCUGGUCCGCCCGGAGGCUCUUUCCUCUCAAUAAAGCCUGAACUUAAGGAAUUUCCUCUAGCCUGCGGUCCGGUUUUUUCCGAACGAGCUCAGUCUUCCCGCAGAGGGUAGGUCGGACAAAUGGUGCCGGAAACCCGGGACGGGAGCUGAGGCCGUUGGCCCGGCCACGGCCCCCCUCCCCGACCUACCCAACACUGGCCCUGCCACCUCCACGUUCCGAUUAAGGCUGGAUUGAAGCUUACCCCACAGCCUCUGAGUCUGCCGGGACAGUAGCCACUCAUCUCAUUCAAGACAUCAUCCCACGCUUUGGACUCCCAGCUACCAUACAGUCAGACAACGGCCUAGCCUUUAUCUCCAAAGUCACUAAUGCCGUUUCUACCUCUCUAGGAAUUCAGUAGAAGCUACAUGCCGCCUACCAUCCCCAGUCCUCUGGUAAGGUAGAACAGGCCAAUGGCCUAAUAAAGGAGCAUCUGACCAAGCUCAUGCUUGAGCUCCGCCAAUCCUGGGUAACCUGACUUCCUAUCGCCCUCACCAGAGUAAGAGCAAGCCCCCGGGGCCCAUCACAGCUUAGCCCAUUUGAGCUGCUGUAUGGUUGCCCCUUCCUGCUUUCAACUCCCCCACCGCCAGAGACUACUCCUCUAGACAGCUACCUCCCCUACUUUACUCAGGAUUAGGAGGAGGGGCACUAGUCCACUCUCACCUGGCCAUAGCCCGACUGACCUCACAACUCCAAGCGGCUAUUGAUGACUCUACUGAGUCUUUAGCAUCACUCCAACGACAGAUCACCUCAGUUGCCCAAGUUGCCUUGCAGAACCGAAGAGCCCUGGACCUGCUCACUGCUGAAUGAGGAGGGACCUGUAUCUUCCUACAGGAAGAGUGCUGUUACUACAUCAAUGAAUCCGGCCUAGUAGAAACCCGAAUCGAGAGCCUCCAGAAACUCAAAACUAACCUGCAGAGUCAGAAGUUCUCGGCUGAAGCCACGGCGUGGUGGUCUUCCUCUAUGUAUACCCUCUUGUCACCAUUGCUUGGGCCCCUAAUAGCUGUUUGCCUAAUCUUACUUAUUGCUCCUUGCUUUCUACAGUUCCUAUAGCGGCGCUUUCAAGAACUGACUCGAGUCACCAUCCACCAGAUGCUGCUCCAACCCUACCCUGAACGAGUGCAAGAAACAGACCUCUCCCCGAACAUCCAGGCUCGUUAAGAAAAGAGACCUCUUCAGAACCCCCAUCGACCCUUGUCAGCAGGAAGUAGCUAGAGAGACAACCGACGCCCCUGACCCCCUCUUUUUCUUUUCUUUAAGGAGUCGGGAAUGUUUGGAAAACUCUGCCCCUACCGCAAAAUCUAUCUCUCUUUCCCUCCCCCACAAAGAGGCUCCCUUAUCUCUCACUUUACAUACCGGCCCUAGCCCUCCCUCCGCCCAGCUUCCCGCCCAGCAGUUCAAACUGACCAACAGUUGCCCACCACCUCGGCUUUUGGCUUCCCCACCCCCCAGCCCUUCAGCCCCCUAUAAAACAACCCUGCUCCUCUGAGCGGCGCGGCCAUUUUUCCUUUUCGUCCCGGCUGGUCCGCCCGGAGGCUCUUUCCUCUCAAUAAAGCCUGAACUUAAGGA